rnacentral:rRNA from 1 species
UACGGGGGGGGGCAAGCGUUGUUCGGAAUUACUGGGCGUAAAGGGUUCGUAGGUGGCCAACUAAGUCAGACGUGAAAUCCCUCGGCUUAACCGGGGGAACUGCGUCUGAUACUGGAUGGCUUGAAUCCGGGGAGAGGGAUGCAGAAUUCCAGGUGUAGCGGUGAAAUGCGUAGAUAUCUGGAGGAAUACCGGUGGCGAAGGCGGCAUCCUGGACCGGCAUUGACGCUGAGGAGCGAAAAGCUAGGGGGAGCAAACGGG